rnacentral:snRNA from 1 species
UACGGACAAGGGGAAUCCG